rnacentral:rRNA from 1 species
CAGUCGCCGCGGUAAUACGGAAGGUCCAGGCGUUAUCCGGAUUUAUUGGGUUUAAAGGGAGCGUAGGCUGGAGAUUAAGUGUGUUGUGAAAUGUAGACGCUCAACGUCUGACUUGCAGCGCAUACUGGUUUCCUUGAGUACGCACAACGUUGGCGGAAUUCGUCGUGUAGCGGUGAAAUGCUUAGAUAUGACGAAGAGCUCCGAUUGCGAAGGCAGCUGACGGGAGCGCAACUGACGCUUAAGCUCGAAGGUGCGGGUAUCAAACAGGAUUAGAUACCCCCGUAGUCCCUGUCUCUUAUAA